rnacentral:rRNA from 1 species
GAAUUCGAUUAACGCGAAGAACCUUACCAACCCUUGACAUGGGACGUAUGGGCUCGAGAGAUCGGGUCCUUCAGUUCGGCUGGCGUCCACACAGGUGCUGCAUGGCUGUCGUCAGCUCGUGUCGUGAGAUGUUGGGUUAAGUCCCGCAACGAGCGCAACCCUCAUCUUCAGUUGCCAUCAUUUAGUUGGGCACUCUGAAGAAACUGCCGGUGACAAGCCGGAGGAAGGCGGGGAUGACGUCAAGUCCUCAUGGCCCUUACGGGUUGGGCCACACACGUGCUACAAUGGUGGUGACAAUGGGGAGCAAAGGCGCGAGCCCGAGCCGAUCUCAAAAAGCCAUCUCAGUUCGGAUUGCACUCUGCAACUCGGGUGCAUGAAGUUGGAAUCGCUAGUAAUCGCGCAUCAGCAUGGCGCGGUGAAUACGUUCCCGGGCCUUGUCACACCGAAUCACUA